GAUGAACGCUGGCGGCGUGCCUAAUACAUGCAAGUCGAGCGAACAGACGAGGAGCUUGCUCCUCUGACGUUAGCGGCGGACGGGUGAGUAACACGUGGAUAACCUACCUAUAAGACUGGGAUAACUUCGGGAAACCGGAGCUAAUACGGGAUAAUAUAUUGAACCGCAUGGGUCAAUAGUGAAAGACGGUUUUGGUGGCAGUUAUAGAUGGAUCCGCGCCGGAUUAGCUAGUUGGUAAGGUAACGGCUUACCAAGGCUACGAGGCGUAGCCGAGCUGAGAGGGUGAUCGGCCACACUGGAACUGAGACACGGUCCAGACUCCUACGGGAGGCAGCAGUAGGGAAUCUUACGCAAUGGGCGAAAGCCUGACGGAGCAACCCCGCGUGAGUGAUGAAGGUCUUCGGAUCGUAAAACUCUGUUAUUAGGUAAGAACAAAUGUGUAAGUAGCUAUGCCCGUCUUGACGGUACCUAAUCAGAAAGCCACGGCUAACUACGUG
rnacentral:rRNA from 1 species